rnacentral:lncRNA from 1 species
AUUCUAGUAGAAAGUGGACUAAGUCUUAAGAGAGAUAAGCCGGUCUUUAUACACUGGCUCUAUUUCGAAUUCAGUCAGUGGCCAGAUGCAUUGUAAGCAAUUCCAGUCCCAGCUGCUGAGGUGGCGUAGUCAGCCCUACCUAAGUAUUGAACAAAACCAACCAUUGUAUAAUAUUAUCAUAUCUUGCAUAUUAAUUAAGACCACUUAUUAGAUCAAGGUUGGC